GAAAGUCGAAGCUCAUCCCAGAUUUUGCAAAAGGAGAAGAGAACUUCCCAAAUCUCUGGCGUAAGUAUGCCGGCCUCCUCCACCUCUUCAUCCUCGGCGUCCUCUUCAUCGGACAACUCGUCGGAUUCUUCGCCUCGGCGCCACCGUCGUCGCCGCCGUCAACGCCGAGACAAAGACAAAGACCGAGACGAGCUCAAGGUCAGCAAGAAAAGCCACCACCGCUCUUCUGAAUCCAAACGGCGUCGUCAUAAGCGCCACUCCUCCUCGUCCGACCGAUACUCUUCUUACUCCUCUUCCGCUUCAUCGGAUGAUGAUUACAGCGUGGGCUCCCCUUGGGCAACCUACGCACUUGUUGUAGUUAGGAGACACUUGCUGUGAAGGUGUUUGUAAUGUCAGUUGAAUUUCCUCUGAUAGUGAACAUGAAGCAUCAAAUCGUUCAAAGAGGCACAAAUCGAGUGACAGACCCAAGAAGAGCAAGGAUAAAGAGAAAAGGAAAAGCCAUCAGCAUAAACGUCACAAGCACAAAGUCAAAGAGGUAGAUUACUGGUUCAGCUUUGGAUUAGAGUGAUCACAUCCCUAAUUUUGUGAUUGAAACAACCUUCUUAGCCAUGUUAAGAGUUCUCUCAUGUGUGGUAGUUUAUUGGUUUUGUUUUUAUGAAUUGGUGUAUACUUUUUUGACGUGACUCUUAUAAUACUUUCUGUCUGUUUUAAUUAAUGGCUCUUCGAAAUUGGAGCUGGGUCUGUGGCAUGAUGAUGGGGUGGUUGAUUGGCUUGCUUGGAUGUUGUUUCUGCCUCGGAUUUUAUCCUGGUAAUGGGAGCUAUAUAUAGAAGCAGCAGGAGGAGAGUAGCAGCCCUGUGCAGCUGUCUAAGUUUCUGGGACGAGACAAAGAUGACGGUGUCCGUCGUAGUGCUGUCUCUGGCAAAAAGAUUCUAUUAAAGCUUGAGAAAUCAAAGGAGGACAAAAUGGCAGAAAAUAAUCGGAACAAGCUACUGAAUUUCUUGAAUGCUAGUUAUGAUUGAUCAGGGACCCCAGAAAGGUUUCCUGGAAUGGGAUUUCUUGGGGCAGAUGAUUGAAGCUGUACGACAUUCAUGAGGAUUCAAAGGCACUCCAUAUAUUAGUUAAUUACAAGAUAUGGAAUUGUGUUCUUUCUCCACCUCAUGGUUUUUUGAGAACUUAUAUGGUUGUUGUAUCAUUAUUAUUAUUAUUAUUAUUUUUGACAUUGUAUCUCGAUUUUGCAUUUCUGACAUUCAGCGUUAUACGACUCCUGAUUUUGCGUUAUUUAGUUGUAUCAAAAGCUGUUACAUCAAAACUGUUUUGGUGAUCUUUUGGGGC